rnacentral:rRNA from 1 species
UUUGAUCAUGGCUCAGAUUGAACGCUGGCGGAAUGCUUUACACAUGCAAGUCGAACGGCAGCACGGAGAGCUUGCUCUCUGGUGGCGAGUGGCGAACGGGUGAGUAAUAUAUCGGAACGUGUCCAAUAAUGGGGGAUAACGAGUCGAAAGAUUCGCUAAUACCGCAUACGCCCUACGGGGGAAAGCAGGGGAUCGUAAGACCUUGCGUUAAUGGAGCGGCCGAUAUCUGAUUAGCUUGUUGGUGAGGUAAAGGCUCACCAAGGCGACGAUCAGUAGCUGGUUUGAGAGAACGACCAGCCACACUGGAACUGAGACACGGUCCAGACUCCUACGGGAGGCAGCAGUGGGGAAUUUUGGACAAUGGGGGCAACCCUGAUCCAGCCAUUCCGCGUGAGUGAAGAAGGCCUUCGGGUUGUAAAGCUCUUUCGCAAGGGAAGAAAACUUAUGAUCGAAUAAAUCAUGAGGUUGACGGUACCUUGAUAAGAAGCACCGGCUAACUACGUGCCAGCAGCCGCGGUAAUACGUAGGGUGCGAGCGUUAAUCGGAAUUACUGGGCGUAAAGCGUGCGCAGGCGGUUUUGUAAGUCGGAUGUGAAAUCCCCGGGCUCAACCUGGGAACUGCGUUCGAAACUGCAAGGCUAGAGUGUGUCAGAGGGGGGUAGAAUUCCACGUGUAGCAGUGAAGUGCGUAGAGAUGUGGAGGAAUACCAAUGGCGAAGGCAGCCCCCUGGGAUAACACUGACGCUCAUGCACGAAAGCGUGGGGAGCAAACAGGAUUAGAUACCCUGGUAGUCCACGCCCUAAACGAUGUCAACUAGUUGUUGGUAGAGUAAAAUCUAUGAGUAACGUAGCUNACGCGUGAAGUUGACCGCCUGGGAGUACGGUCGCAGAUUAAAACUCAAAGGAAUUGACG